ensembl:lncRNA
UUGGUGACCUUCAGGCCCAGCCCAUUUCUCCAGCCUUAUCACAUUAAGCCUCUCCCUGUAGUCACAGCUGCAGCUGCUCCAGCCAACUCAUCACACUCCACACAUGAAGCACCCUCUUGCCUCCGUGCCUUUGCUCUGUUUCCUCUUGCUUUGGCUGCUCUCACAGUUGACUAUGUCCUAUCCUCCCUACUGGAUUAUGAGGUGCCUGAGGUCAGAGUCAAAGCAUGGUCACAUCUAUUUGCCCAGUACCUACCAAGGCCCUGGACCAUGGAGAGGCGCCCAAAGCAGAUAUUUCAAUAUAUUCCAAUUUAGCCAAGGGAAGCCAGAACAUGGAUGCUGUUGCCAAGGAAACCACCUCCUUCCUCCCCGUGUGCUGUGCAUACGUGUAUCACUUCAUCUCUCCACUCUCCAAGGGGAAGACAACAGACUCGAUGGCUUAGCUAAAGCAAGCCUGGUACUUCCCUCAAGCAGCUUGUGGAUUGCAGAUUCCUGCCAGGCCCUCCAGAACCAGCCCAAGGUCUCUUCCCCCAGAUCUGUCUGCUCUCAGCAUUUUCUCCAAAAAGAGCCACGGGGAGGCUAUGCAAGUCAGGAGUAGAACCUGGGAGUCCUUCCAUCAGGAGCUGCAUGUCCCGUGCCUGCCGUGUUCCACACUCAGUGCCAGGGCUGGAGACACCCUCCCUGAGAUGACCCCAGCCCCGCUUUCCAGGAGCUGGGCGUCCAGGCUGGCAGGUGAGAAGCAUCCUGCCAGGCAAGGCUACCCCAGGCUUUGCCCUCAACUUCUGGAUUGUUGCACCUCUGUGUGAAUAUGCUCCCGUCCCACCUGACAUGGUGUGAUUUGGGUACCGUCCAACUUAAGAUGAAAAGAAGCCAGCCACGUGGCAAGCCGCCCUGCCGCCUCUGCUGGGGUGCCCCUCCUGCCGGCCAGGAUCUCACUCUCCCUUCUGAGUGGGGCUGUGAAGUGUCUAAUCCAGGCUUUUAUCUGGCAUCCACAAUUAUAAUGUCAAGAUUGAAUAAUCUGCCUUUAUCUUCUGGGUGACAGCCAUGUAGAAACUUCAAAAGAAACAGUAAUGCUGGCAUCUAACGGCUUUUGUUAAUUACUAUAUCCCAAAGAAAAUGAAAUAAAGGAGGAAGAAAAAUGA